rnacentral:tRNA from 1 species
AUUUUAAUAGCUUAUAUUAGAGUUUAAUAUUGAAGAUAUUAAGGAGAAUAAUUUUCUUAAAAUA